rnacentral:tRNA from 1 species
UCCCUAGUGGCUCAGAUGGUAAAGCAUCUGUCUGCAGUGCAGGAGACCCAGGUUCAAUCCCUGGGUUGGGAA